GACGAACCGUGCGAACGUUAUUCGGAAUUACUGGGCUUAAAGCGCGUGUAGGCGGGCCGGCACGUCCGUCGCUGAAAGCCCCCGGCUCAACCGGGGAAGUGGCGUGGAUACGACCGGCCUCGAGGGGGGUAGGGGGACCUGGAACUUCCGGUGGAGCGGUGAAAUGCGUUGAGAUCGGAAGGAACGCCCGUGGCGAAAGCGAGGUCCUGGACCCUUUCUGACGCUGAGACGCGAAAGCCAGGGGAGCGAACGGG
rnacentral:rRNA from 1 species